GACGAACGCUGGCGGCGUGCCUAAUACAUGCAAGUCGAGCGAAUCGAUGGGAGCUUGCUCCCUGAGAUUAGCGGCGGACGGGUGAGUAACACGUGGGUAACCUGCCUGUAAGACUGGGAUAACUUCGGGAAACCGGAGCUAAUACCGGAUACGUUCUUUUCUCGCAUGAGGAGAGAUGGAAAGAUGGUUUCGGCUAUCAUUUACAGAUGGACCCGCGGCGCAUUAGCUAGUUGGUGAGGUAACGGCUCACCAAGGCGACGAUGCGUAGCCGACCUGAGAGGGUGAUCGGCCACACUGGGACUGAGACACGGCCCAGACUCCUACGGGAGGCAGCAGUAGGGAAUCUUCCGCAAUGGACGAAAGUCUGACGGAGCAACGCCGCGUGAGCGAAGAAGGCCUUCGGGUCGUAAAGCUCUGUUGUUAGGGAAGAACAAGUACGAGAGUAACUGCUCGUACCUUGACGGUACCUAACCAGAAAGCCACGGCUAACUACGUGCCAGCAGCCGCCGUAAGAC
rnacentral:rRNA from 1 species